rnacentral:lncRNA from 1 species
UUUAUGCAUGCACAUGUUUAUAUCCGUACAGUUGGUUUGUUCUUUGCUGUGUCAAUCAAAUAAUUGGAAGAUUCACAUCUUAUAGUUAUAGAUAUCUUCUCAUAAUUUAUUAUCUUAUACGAUCAAUGUAAGUAAUUUCUUUUCAAUAAUUAAUAUUUUUUAAUUUGCUUCGGAAUGAAGAGGGGGUCCAUUAAGCACGUGUGACUUUUAAUAAGGCUCACAUGGCAGAAGGUAAUCACAUGCCCAAGCCCAUAAAAUUCGGCGACAACAGCAUGCAUUCCCAAUGAAUACUUAAUUCAACAAGUUAAAUAUCAUAAU